GAUGUGAAUUGUUUUUAAUGGGUGGGGGCCUAGUCUCACGUUUUUUUUGCAUUCGUGACUAGAUCCACACUCAUUAAAAAAUAUUCACA
rnacentral:pre_miRNA from 14 species